rnacentral:rRNA from 1 species
UGCCAGCAGCCGCGGUAAUACGAAGGGGGCAAGCGUUGUUCGGAAUUACUGGGCGUAAAGGGCGUGUAGGCGGAUCGACCAGUCAGGGGUGAAAUCCCGGGGCUCAACCUCGGAACUGCCUUUGAUACUGUCGAUCUAGAGUCUGUGAGAGGGUGGCGGAAUACCCAGUGUAGAGGUGAAAUUCGUAGAUAUUGGGUAGAACACCAGUGGCGAAGGCGGCCACCUGGCACAGUACUGACGCUGAGGCGCGAAAGCGUGGGGAGCAAACAGGAUUAGAUA